rnacentral:lncRNA from 10 species
UGCCAAAGUGCCAUACUUUGGGGUAUUGUUUUCUAAGCCCCAGUAAGGGCAAAGGAGGAAAAAGCAACGACCAUGAGGAAGCGGUUUGGUCUUCUACCAAGACAUGAAGGACUUAGUAGAGAAGGAGGUAAGAAGGGGUCAGACUUCAGAUUUUUAAGGCACAUCCCACAGGAUUUCAGAUGGAGUAGAGAUAGCUUCAGAGAGACUCAAGGAUGACAGAUUUUUAGAAUAGUGAUGCCAUUAUAGAUACAAAAAUGAAGUGCAUGUUUGAAGCCAGUGCAACCCAAGAGACUCAUAGUAAGUGCGAUCUGAGCUCGUCUGGGAAUCAGGAGUCAGGGAGGGCUCCCUGGAGGAAUUGACAUGAGAGCCAGGGCCUGAAGAGUGCAUCACGGUUAACUUAAAAUUAAGUGGGGAGGCAGGAGAGUGGGCCUGGGGAAGAAGCAGUAAAUGCACCAGAUGAGCAGGCAUUGUCUUCAGGCUGAAAAGCUGGUGUGUCCAGAGCUAAGAGAGAGGGCGCUGCUGGGUUUAAGAUGAUGACAGAGGGUGGGGUGAGAGGACUGAACUUGAUCCUGAGGGCAGUGACAGCCAGAGAAAGGUGGUAAGUUAGGGAGUGAUACAGCCCGAGAGCCCCCAAAACUCUGGCUGAUGGGUGGAGAAGGUUCCGGAGGGGAAGCAGAGUGGAAACAAGGAGAUCAGUGAGGAAGCCAUGGUUUCAUGAAUGCUCCGGUUUUGAGGAUGGACAGCCAGAUUUGUGUCCCGGGUCGUCAUUUCUCGAGCCGUGGCUUCCAGUGACUGUGUGGUAUUCCACAAGUUUUUAACCAGACCGCUCAGUGAUUCCCAACUUUAUAUAUUGCCAUGGAACAUGCUUGGAAUUGCACAAAGGGAAAGCUGGAGGGGGUUUGGGACUCUCUAUGUGGUUCUUGGUGAAAAACUCAUUCAAUUUCCAUAUAUUACAUAUUUAUGAUGAAAGAAAUGAAAUAUAUUUCAUAGAGAAAAUAUGAAGUUUUAUCUUUGAUUAAAACAUCUAAAUACAUAAAAUAUUUUAAAAUUUUUUCUUUAAAAACUUGACUUUGGUCCUGUAAAUGCAACUUUUUAUAUGAGGUUUUAUUAUUGAAAUGGCUCGGCCGGGCACGGUAGCUCACGCCUGUAAUCCCAGCACUUUGGGAGGCUGAGGUUGGCGGAUCAUGAGGUCAGGAGUUCGAGACCAGAGCCUGGCCAGCAUGGUGAAACCCCAUCUCUACUGAAAAAAAAAAAAACAGAAAAAAUUAGCCAGGAAUGGUGGCGUGGUGGCGUGUGCCUGUAAUCCCAGCUACUCUGGAGGCUGAGGCAGGAGAAUUGCUUGAACCCAGGAGGCGGAGGUUGCAGUGAGCCGAGGUUGUGUCACUGCACUCCAGCCUGGGUGACAGAGCGCAACUCCGUCUCAAAAAAAAA